rnacentral:rRNA from 1 species
UACGAAGGGGGCUAGCGUUGCUCGGAAUCACUGGGCGUAAAGGGUGCGUAGGCGGGUCUUUAAGUCAGGGGUGAAAUCCUGGAGCUCAACUCCAGAACUGCCUUUGAUACUGAAGAUCUUGAGUUCGGGAGAGGUGAGUGGAACUGCGAGUGUAGAGGUGAAAUUCGUAGAUAUUCGCAAGAACACCAGUGGCGAAGGCGGCUCACUGGCCCGAUACUGACGCUGAGGCACGGAAAGCGUGGGGAGCAAACGGG